rnacentral:snoRNA from 1 species
GUUUUAUUGUCAUCUGAUUCUCAUGAUGAAUAUAUACCUCCUACUCAUUCUGAGUG